rnacentral:rRNA from 1 species
UACGGGGGGGGCAAGCGUUGUUCGGAAUUACUGGGCGUAAAGGGCUCGUAGGCGGCUCGCUAAGUCAGACGUGAAAGCCCUCGGCUUAACCGGGGAACGGCGUCUGAGACUGGCAAGCUUGAAUCCGGGAGAGGGAUGCGGAAUUCCAGGUGUAGCGGUGAAAUGCGUAGAUAUCUGGAGGAACACCGGCGGCGAAGGCGGCAUCCUGGACCGGUAUUGACGCUGAGGAGCGAAAGCGUGGGGAGCAAACAGG